rnacentral:lncRNA from 10 species
AGACACAGAAACAGAAACACACAGACAGAAACAAACACAGAGACACAGAGACACAGAAACACACAGAAACACAGAAACAAACACAGAGACACAGAAACACACAGAAACACACAGAAACACAGAAACAAACACAGAGACACAGAAACACACAGAAACACAGAAACAAACACAGAGACACAGAAACACACAGAAACACACAGACAGAAACAAACACAGAAACACAGAGACACAGAAAUACAGAAACACACAGAAACACAGAAACAAACACAGAGACACAGAGACACAGAAACACAGCGACGCAGAAACACAGCAACACAAACACAGAAACACAGAAACACACAGAAACAGAAACACAGAAACAAACACAGAGACACAGACACACAGACACAGAGAAACACAGAAACACACAGAAACACUGAAACACAGUGGGCGGUGUCCAGGCUGCAGAGGCUCCAUCGCUGU